CCAUAAAGUUUAAUGCUGGAUCGGUGAGUAAUGCUUGGGAACUUGCCUUUGCGAGGGGGAUAACAGUUGGAAACGACUGCUAAUACCGCAUAAUGUCUUCGGACCAAACGGGGCUUAGGCUCCGGCGCAAAGAGAGGCCCAAGUGAGAUUAGCUAGUUGGUAAGGUAACGGCUUACCAAGGCGACGAUCUCUAGCUGUUCUGAGAGGAAGAUCAGCCACACUGGGACUGAGACACGGCCCAGACUCCUACGGGAGGCAGCAGUGGGGAAUAUUGCACAAUGGGGGAAACCCUGAUGCAGCCAUGCCGCGUGUGUGAAGAAGGCCUUCGGGUUGUAAAGCACUUUCAGUUGUGAGGAAAAGUUAGUAGUUAAUACCUGCUAGCCGUGACGUUUACAACAGAAGAAGCACCGGCUAACUCCGUGCCAGCAGCCGCGGUAAUACGGAGGGUGCGAGCGUUAAUCCCAAUUUCUGGGCGUAAAGCGCACGCAAGCGGUUUGUUAAGCUAGAUGUGAAAGCCCCGGGCUCAACCUGGGAUGGUCAUUUAUAACUGGCAGACUACAAUCUUGGAAAGGGGAGUGGAAUUCCAAGUGUAUCGGUGACAUGCUUACAUGUCUGGAGGAACAUCAAUGGCGAAUGCUACUCCCUGGGCAUAGACUGACGCUCAUGUGCGAUAGUGUGGGUAUCGAACAGAGAUUAGAUACCCUGGUAAUCCACACCGUAUACGCCGCUCUACUACCUGUGUGUGCCUUUAGUGCAGUGCGUUACCUAAGCUUACACUCUAAGUAU
rnacentral:rRNA from 1 species